UUUUUCACGUAAUGGUCAUCCGA
rnacentral:snRNA from 1 species